AGGACCUCAUGCACAGUGCCCAGUGACUUACAUCAGAAAAUAUAUCCCUUAAAUCAAAAAUAUAUUUAUUCUCUUCAGCUGCAGUUCUUUAAUCUGCAUUUCAAAGAGAAACACAUGAAUUAAAUGUGAGCUUACACUGUCUUAUUUGGUUAUUAGGCCUUCAACACUCCUUCACACUAGCUCAGCAGGUCUGCAGAUUUUACUGCCACUAAUGUUUUGUUGUAAAUCUGUCCCACAACCUACAAAAUUAAAUACAUUUUAUUUAAUAUAUUGGCCUACUUGAUAAGGAUACAGUCUAACUCCUGUCCUCAUCCCUGUUUAGGAUUUCUAUGACCAAAGUAAAACUCCAUCCAUCACUUGUCCUGGUUGACCCAUAGUAAACAUUAAUAUUAUGAACCUUUGGCCUGGAAUACAACAACAGACAUUACUGAUACAAAUUAAGUUACACAGAAGCUUGACUGAACUAUAAUCAAUUCACAUAGAUCAAAAUCUUGAUUUGAAAUGAUGAGCUAAAUGUGAAGCUGUGAAAAAAAUUGAAUUCGACAAGAAAUGAUGACCUGUUCCAAAUGUUUCUAAAAAAAAAGAAGGAAGAAACUGAGUUUAUUUGGAUUCAUCUGAUGCUCAGGAGAAGGCAGCAGCAGGGAGAAUUUCAUGGUUUGAGAUAGGAGUUCAGCUGUAUCAGGAUCGUUUUCAUGCAUAAUUGAGGAUGCCAGUGGGGCAGUGUAAAGACCGACUCGACACACUGUUAUCUUGAUCACUUUUUUGGAGUGUUUAUUGGCAUUUCACACAUCCAGUUUUGUUUGGUUCAGCACCCGGUUCCACCAACUUUCCAGCUGGUCUCCAGCUCACACUCCUCUCCCUCUGGUCUCAAGCUUCACUAUAAAAAGGAGACUCUUCAUUAGAAAAAUCAUCACCACCUGUCCCACCAUCCUCCUUGAGCUCACUGCACCACCCCUCCACCACCCCUGCAGCUAAGCAAGGGACCACACCUCCACCUCCAUCGCUCAACUGAGGCCAGGAAACCAUCCAGCCAAACCUGCCACCCUGGGAGAGGAAAUCGGUCACAGCCAUCUGCGCCCCUGACAUAUGGACGGCCUUGAAUUUAAAGGGCUCCAAAGACAGAUACCACUGGGUGAUCCGGGGGUUGGCAUCCUUCCUUGCGAUGGAGCCACUGGAGCGGGGCGUCGUCUAAGCAGAGGGUGAAUGAGCGUCCCAGAAGUUAUUACAAAGGUAGCCAGCUGCCCACCAGAUGGCAAGACACUCUUUCUCCACUGUGCUGAUGAUUUUCCCUAUGUCCCUUUAGCUUUACCCACCAAGUUGGAGCAAUUUGACGUCUUCUGAUUUCUAGCAGUUGUUCACCCAUUUCAACUUACAAUACAGACACUGGGGUAGUUUUAAUGGCCAUACAACAGAACCUCAUUGCUUGAUACUGAAUUUUUUUCCAAGUUAUUUAACAAUAUUUUAACCGUCGAACCGUAAACAAAAACACCCGAAAUCUAGAACUGGUCCAAUGAGACCUAUAUAUAAAGCUUCUAAUGCUGUUCUAUCUGCGCCCCAUUCACUGCCUUUUAAACAUCUUAAAAUAUUCAAAACCUUUUUACAUUUCUUAGUUAUUUCCCAAUAUGUGUUUUCCAUGUAAGCCUUUUUAAAAAAAAAAUCAAGCCAGAUUCCUAAAUAUUUAAAACAGUCAACCGUUUCUAUUCCAUUCCCAUACAAUUUAAGAUUAAAUUUGUAUCUGCUCUCUUAUAUGUAAUAAUCAAUUUUGAUUUUGUAACAGAGAGCCUAAAUCCCCAUUCCAGAGCCCAAUCUUCCACUAUUUAUAGUUCUUGCUGUACGUUAGUUGUGAAGAACCUUAUAUUUCUUCCUCUCUUCUAAAUGACUCUAUCAUCAGCAAACAAUGAAACUUCCAUUGAUUAAUCAAUAUUAUUAAAUACCUCAUUAAUGAUUAGGGAAAAAUAAUAUUAGACUAAGAAUACUUCCUUGUGUAGUACCAUUCUGUACCUCAUAACCCGUACUGAAGUCUUUUCCUAGUUGUACAAAAAUCUUUCUUAAAAAAAAUCCUAAUCCAUUUAUACAUUUUUCCUUUAAUACCGAUCUAAUGCAACUUGAUCAGGAGCCCUUCUUUCCACAUCAUAUGCCUUCUUAACAUCUAAACGCACAACUGCUACACUUUCCUUAUUGACUUGGGCUGAGCUACCUGUGUUUUUCCACUGUUUCCCUGUAUGUCUUUCUCUGGGCGGAGCUCUCAUCAGUCCACUUCCUUAGCUCACCUGACGGAGAUCAGGACAACCAGCAAAAGAGUAUUUAGGACCAGCGCUGACAUCUCUUCACCGCCAGUUCAUCAGCUGACCUCACUCAUCUCUUGGAGCCAUCAUUCUAUUUACCUUCAGCUUGCAUUCCCAGGAUGCUGGCCUCUGGGCCCCCCGUGACACAAAUAAACCUGUGUUAAAGAUUCCCUUUGUGUCCAGCAACAUGUCCUUCAUCCUGUCUUCCUUCUCUCACCCCAACCGGUCGCAGCAGAUGGCCC